rnacentral:rRNA from 1 species
AUUCCAGCUCCAAUAGCGUAUAUUAAAGUUGUUGCAGUUAAAAAGCUCGUAGUUGGAUUUCUUGGGCAGCAAGCGGGUCGGCUCAACGAGUCUGCGCUAGCUCCGCUGUCCAAUCCUCGUAACAAGCUGUCGGUGAGUUAAUUCCAUUCGGCAGUGAGUUGCGUCAUUUACUGUGAACAAAUUAGAGUGUUUAAAGCAGGCAAAUGCUGUGAAUACAUUAGCAUGGAAUAAUAAGAUAGGACCUAGAGUCUAUUUUGUUGGUUGCGAUUUUAGGUAAUGAUUAAUAGGGAUAGUUGGGGGUAUUCAUAUUCAAUUGUCAGAGGUGAAAUUCUUGGAUUUAUGGAAGAUGAACAACUGCGAAAGCAUUUACCAAGGAUGUUUUCAUUG